UUUGGAGAAAGAAAGGAGAAAGCAAGAGAGAUAUGCUCAAGAUUGGUUCAAGUAUGGAAAGUGGGGACCAAGUGGGGUAUAAAUAGGCUCAAGAAGGCUCCCCAACGUGCAGAAUUUGAGAAUUUUCCCGUUAAUAGCCGUUGAGAGUCGUUGGCAACGGCUAGUUUAAUGAAAACUGCAGAAUUUUCGAAAAGAAAUUGUCUAGAGCGCAUUUAAUCGAUUAAACUGGAUUUUAAUCGAUUAAUUAAUCGAUUAAUACUUGGAUUAAUUGAUUAAGCCAUUCGUAAAUGUAUAGGUAACGCUUUUAAUCGAUUUACACGCAGAUUAAACACGUUAAACAACGCAAAUUGCAAUAUUAAGCCCAAAAAUGCCUAUUAUACUAUUUUUAAUAUGCCUAGAUCUCAUCUAAGCUCAAA
rnacentral:lncRNA from 1 species